UUUCCAUUUAUGAAGAACGCUGUGAAAUGCGAGAAGUAAUGGUGAAUUGCAGAAUUCAGAUGAAUCAUCGAAUCUAUUGAACGCACCUUGCGCUCCUUGGUAUUCCGAGGAGCAUGCCUGUUUGAGCGUCAUGA
rnacentral:rRNA from 1 species